rnacentral:rRNA from 1 species
AUUGAACGCUGGCGGCAUGCCUUACACAUGCAAGUCGAACGGUAGAGUAGCAAUACUUGAGAGUGGCGAACGGGUGAGUAAUAUAUCGGAACGUGCCCAGUCGUGGGGGAUAACGUAGAGAAAUUUACGCUAAUACCGCAUACGAUCUAAGGAUGAAAGCGGGGGAUUCGCAAGAACCUCGCGCGAUUGGAGUGGCUGAUAUCAGAUUAGGUUGUUGGUGAGGUAAAAGCUCACCAAGCCGACGAUCUGUAGCUGGUCUGAGAGGACGACCAGCCACACUGGGACUGAGACACGGCCCAGACUCCUACGGGAGGCAGCAGUGGGGGAAUUUUUGGACAAUGGGCGCAAGCCUGAUCCAGCAAUGCCGCGUGCAGGAUGAAGGCC